rnacentral:rRNA from 1 species
AACGAACGCUGCCCACAUGCCUAACACCUGCAAGUCGAACGAGACCUUCGUGUCUAGUGGCGCACGGGUGCGUAACGCGUGGUAACCUGCCCUUAGGGUCGGAAUAACUCCGUGAAAUGGGUGCUAAUACCGGAUCAUGUCUUCGGACCAAAGAAUUAUCGCCUAUGGAGGGGCCCGCGUUGGAUUAGUUAGUUGGUUGGGUAAAAUCCUACCAAGGCGACGAUCCAUAGCUGGUCUGAGAGGAUGAUCAGCCACACUGGGACUGAGACACGCCCCAGACUCCUACGGGAGGCAGCAGUGGGGAAUAUUGGACAAUGGGCGAAAGCCUGAUCCAGCAAUGCCGCGUGAGUGAUGAAGGCCUUAGGGUUGUAAAGCUCUGUUACCCGGGAUGAUAAUGGCAGUCGCGGGAGAAUAAGCUCGGGCUAACUCCGUG